rnacentral:rRNA from 1 species
AAUAGAUACCCCGGUAGUCCACCCCGUAAACGUUGGGAACUAGUUGUGGGGUCCAUUCCACGGAUUCCGUGACGCAGCUAACGCAUUAAGUUCCCCGCCUGGGGAGUACGGCCGCAAGGCUAAAACUCAAAGGAAUUGACGGGGUACCCGCACAAGCGGCGGAGCAUGCGGAUUAAUUCGAUGCAACGCGAAGAACCUUACCAAGGCUUGACAUAUAGAGGAAACGGCUGGAAACAGUCGCCCCGCAAGGUCUCUAUACAGGUGGUGCAUGGUUGUCGUCAGCUCGUGUCGUGAGAUGUUGGGUUAAGUCCCGCAACGAGCGCAACCCUCGUUCUAUGUUGCCAGCACGUAAUGGUGGGAACUCAUGGGAUACUGCCGGGGUCAACUCGGAGGAAGGUGGGGAUGACGUCAAAUCAUCAUGCCCCUUAUGUCUUGGGCUUCACGCAUGCUACAAUGGCCGGUACAAAGGGCUGCAAUACCGUAAGGUGGAGCGAAUCCCAAAAAGCCGGUCCCAGUUCGGAUUGAGGUCUGCAACUCGACCUCA